rnacentral:rRNA from 1 species
GGGGGGGGGGGGGGGGGGGGGGGGGGGGGGCGGGGCGGGCGGGGAGGCGCGGGGUGGGUGGGGGGCUCGAGUGGCGAACGGGUGGGGAACGCGUGAGUAACCUGCCCUGGACUGUGGGAGAACUUCAGGAAACUGGGGCUAAUACCGGAUAGGAGCUCCUGCUGCAUGGGGGGGGGUGGAAAGUUUCGGCGGUGGGGGAUGGACUCGCGGCGUAUCAGCUUGUUGGUGGGGUAGUGGCUUACCAAGGCUUUGACGGGUAGCCGGCCUGCGAGGGUGACCGGCCCCAUUGGGACUGAGAUACGGCCCAGACUCCUACGGGAGGCAGCAGUGGGGAAUAUUGCACAAUGGGCGGAAGCCUGAUGCAGCAACGCCGCGUGCGGGAUGACGGCCUUCGGGUUGUAAACCGCUUUCGCCUGUGACGAAGCGUGAGUGACGGUAAUGGGUAAAGAAGCACCGGCUAACUACGUG